AAUUCCCGUGAUCGAGGAGCUUUUAGACGAACUUCAUGGGACAACCGUGUUCUCGAAAUUAGACCUUAAAUCUGGGUACCAUCAAAUAAGAGUACGGAAGGAAGAUGUUCACAAGACCGCAUUCCGAACGCAUGAGGGCCACUAUGAGUUCCUUGUCAUGCCUUUUGGUCUCUCAAAUGUGCCGGCAACUUUCAGUCGCUAAUGAAUCUGGUCUUCAGGGAGUACCUCAGAAAAUUUGUUCUGGUUUUCUUCGAUAACAUUCUGGUGUACAGUAAGGACCUUCCAACUCAUGAACAGCACUUGGAAAAAGUCCUUACUUCUCUAGCUGCGCAUCAGUUAUAUGCAAAACGCCAAGAAGUGUAUCUUUGCUCAGAAACAAAUAGAGUAUCUCGGCCGCCUAGUAUCUGAACAGGGAGUGAUAGCUGACCCAAAGAAGAUAGAAGUAAUGGUGUAGUGACCGACCCCCCGUAACAUCAGAGAAUUAAGGGGAUUUUUGGGUUUGACAGGGUACUACAAGCUUUUUGUGGCAGGCUACGGUGCAAUCUCCUGGCCACUGACACAACAACUAAAGAAGGAUGCAUUUGGGUGGAAUGAAGAAGCAGAAACAAUAUUUCAAAAGCUGAAAGAUGCCGUGACAACCGUACCAGUAUUAGCCCUACCAGACUUCUCAAAACCCUUCAUCAUCGAAGCUGAUGCAUUAGGUCAUGGGGUAGGAGCAGUCCUUAUGCAGGAACAACAGCCCAUCGCGUAUUUCAACCAGGUGUUGUCUACUAAAUCGCAACACAAAUCAGUCUAUGAAAGGGAAUUGAUGGCGAUUGUGCUGGCAAUCCAAAAAUGGCGUCAUUAUAUUUUUGGACAAAAAUUCAUAGUUCGCACCGAUCAGCGUAGCUUAAGGUUCCUCCUCAUGCAAAGAAUGAUUCCGAUGGAAUUUCAGAAGUGGGUGACCAAAUUACUGGGAUACGAGUUCGAGAUACAGUACAGGCCAGGGAAGGAAAAUAAAGCUGCAGAUGCUGUGUCUCGCAUUCCCAGCCCAGUCGAACUAGCGGCUCUUACAUUUCCUCAAGUGUUGGACGUCUAGUUAAUUCACAAUCAGGUCAUUGAUGACCCACAACUCUCAAAGAUAAUAAAGGAGCUACAGGAAGACCCAGACCUCCAUCCCAAAUAUUCACUCGAGCAAGGCAGGCUGAUGUUCAAAGGGCGCCUGGUCAUCCCUCACUCUUCUACACUGAUCCCCACUGUUCUUAAGCAGUUGCACUGCUGUACCUUGGGAGGUCACUCUGGGUUCCUUCGAACCUACAAAAGGGUGGCUAGCAACUUGUACUUGAAAGGAAUGAAGAAAGAUAUCAAAAAAAUGGUUGAUGAAUGUACAGUUUGCCAACAAAACAAGUCACUUUCCCUCUCUCUAGCUGGACUACUACAACCCCUACCAAUUCCCUGCCGGAUUUGGGAAGAUAUCUCAUUGGACUUUGUUGAAGGCCUUCCAACAUCCGGUGGUUACAAUACAUUGCUGUUUGUGGUCGACCGAUUAAGCAAGUAUGCACAUUUUUUGCUUCUAAAACAUCCCUAUACAGCCUCUGGGGUGGCGACCAUUUUUGUUAGAGAAAUCGUGCGUCU
rnacentral:lncRNA from 1 species